AUGACAAGCAGAGCAUGCAGUGUCCACGAGAUCCGGCGGGAGCGGCGUGCGGAGGGCCCGGCCAUGGUGCUCGCCAUCGGCAGGGCAAACCCGUUGAACUGUGUUUCCCAAGAAGACUACCCCGACUACUACUUCCGUGUCACCAAGAGCGAGCACCUCACCGACCUCAAAGACACCUUCAAAAAGCUGUGUGAAAUAACAGGCAUGGGAAAGCGGUUCUUCUACCACACGGAGAAACUGCUCAACGUCCACCCCGAACUUCUCCACCAUGCAUCCCCAUCCAUUGAUGUGCGGCUUGAGAUCGCCACCACGGCCGCUCCAGAGCUCGCGGCAUCAGCAGCAGUGAAGGCCAUCGCCGAGUGGGGUCGUCCGGCCACCGACAUCACCCACCUCGUCGUCAGCACAAACUCAGCGGCCCAUGCCCCGAGCGUCGACUUCCGCUUGGCUUCCCUCCUCGGCCUCCGCUCCAGUGUCUGCCGCACGAUGCUCCACCUUAACGGCUGCUCCGGCGGCUGCGCCGCCUUGCGCCUAGCCAAGGACCUGGCCGAGAACAACCGCGGCGCGCGCGUUCUUGUUGCCUGCGUCGAGCUCACCAUUACCUCCUUCCGUGGCCCCGACAAAGAGGACUGCUUCGACACCCUAAUCAGCCAGGGACUGUUCAGUGAUGGAGCAGGCGCCGUCAUCGUCGGCGCCGACACCGUGCGCUCCGUCGAGCACCCGCUGUUUGAGAUGGUGUCCGUGUCGCAGGCCGUGAUACCGGAGAGCGAGCACUUGCUCAACAUGCGGCUCGGGAACAGCGGCAUUUGCGGCAACAUUUCCACCGAGCUGCCACGCCUCACGGGGGACAACAUUGAACGGUGUUUGCUGGAUGCAUUGGAGCCACUUGGUAUCCACGUCAAAUGGAAUGACCUCUUCUGGGUAGUGCACCCCGGUAGCCGUGGUGUCUUGGACCACAUCGAGGUAGCUCUCCAGUUGGAGCCCAAGAAGCUCGCGGCAAGCCGAACGGUUAUGAGAGAGCACGGGAACAUGCUGGGAGCGACGGUGAUAUUCGUGCUGGACGAGCAGCGACGGCUAAUGGAGAAGGACGCAGCGGGGGCGCAUGGGUGGGGGGUGAUGGUGGGAUUUGGUCCCGGUUUCACUGCCGAGACGACGGUGCUGCGCGCAACUGGUGGUGACCAAAAUAAAAAUUACUAG
rnacentral:rRNA from 1 species